CUCACAUAAAAAGAUUCCGUUCAACAAUAAAAUAAAAUAUUAAUAUAAACAACAACAGUCACAAAUCAUAUAGAAUCCCAUAAACAACUCCCCCAAACAUGAACAAAAUUAAGAUCUUAACUGCGGCAGCGGGUGAUGGCGGAGCAGCCACGGGUGUAGGGGUUGGCGCGGGCGCCGGGGCGGCAGUUGUAGUAGGAGAGGAUCAACAAUGGCGUCCUUCCUCCAAUCCUGCCUCAUCCUUCUCCUUGUCGCCGCCGUCGCCGCCUCCCUCACCCCCGCCGCCGCCUCUGAUGGCGGCGCCGCCAGCCAGCUCGGUUGGAUGCCUGGCAGCAGCGGAGGUUGCCGUGGCACCA
rnacentral:misc_RNA from 1 species